UUUGGUUUGUUACGUGUGGUUGGCUGCGGCGUUUGCAACAACUUCCAUGCUUUCAGACCUCUUCAGUUGUGCGGCAAGGCUUGUAUCGCCUUGAGCGUAUUGUGGGUUUUCUGUGUUGGCUACCUAAUCAAUGGUAUCGGUUGGAUUGAUCAAAGUUUGAUUUCGUCUUUCGUCGCAUUCGCGGCGCGAGGUGAACCUGGAUGCAGUCUCUUUGAUCCACCUCGUUGAAGCACAUGCUUCGAUGUUGUGGCACAUUGAGCAUUGCUUGGUCUCUUGUAUACGGAACAUAUAGUGGGCAUGGAUCUAACGAUUCUUGUUUGCCCUCAUAUUAGCGUAACGCUUCUCUAACACGACUUGUGCCACGUUUUAG
rnacentral:misc_RNA from 2 species